GAUGAACGCUGGCGGCGUGCCUAAUACAUGCAAGUCGAGCGAACGGACGAGAAGCUUGCUUUUCUGAUGUUAGCGGCGGACGGGUGAGUAACACGUGGAUAACCUACCUAUAAGACUGGGAUAACUUCGGGAAACCGGAGCUAAUACCGGAUAAUAUUUUGAACCGCAUGGUUCAAAAGUGAAAGACGGUCUUGCUGUCACUUAUAGAUGGAUCCGCGCUGCAUUAGCUAGUUGGUAAGGUAACGGCUUACCAAGGCAACGAUGCAUAGCCGACCUGAGAGGGUGAUCGGCCACACUGGAACUGAGACACGGUCCAGACUCCUACGGGAGGCAGCAGUAGGGAAUCUUCCGCAAAGGGCGAAAGCCUGACGGAGCAACGCCGCGUGAGUGAUGAAGGUCUUCGGAUCGUAAAACUCUGUUAUUAGGGAAGAACAUAUGUGUAAGUAACUGUGCACACCUUGACGGUACCUAAUCAGAAAGCCACGGCUAACUACGUG
rnacentral:rRNA from 1 species